UACGGAGGGAGCUAGCGUUGUUCGGAAUUACUGGGCGUAAAGCGUGCGCAGGCGGUUGUGCAAGACAGAUGUGAAAUCCCCGGGCUUAACCUGGGAACUGCAUUUGUGACUGCACAGCUGGAGUGCGGCAGAGGGGGAUGGAAUUCCGGCGUGUAGCAGUGAAAUGCGUAGAUAUGCGGAGGAACACCGAUGGCGAAGGCAAUCCCCUGGGCCUGCACUGACGCUCAUGCACGAAGCGUGGGGAGCAACAGG
rnacentral:rRNA from 1 species